rnacentral:rRNA from 1 species
UUAUGCUAGAAAGAGCGCAGGGUGGAUGCCUUGGCACUAAGAGCCGAUGAAAGACGUGAUAAGCUGCGAAAAGCUUCGGGGAGGAGCAAAUAUCCGAUGAUCCGGAGAUAUCUGAAUGGGGAAACCCGGCUGGACAGACUCCAGUCAUCCAUACGCCAAUCCAUAACGUAUGGAAGGGAACCCGGUGAACUGAAACAUCUAAGUAGCCGGAGGAAGAGAAAACAACAAGUGAUUCUGUGAGUAGCGGCGAGCGAAAACGGAAGAGCCCAAACCGGAAUGCGUGCAUUCCGGGGUUCGGACCGCGUAAUUGAUCUGAUAAGUUUAGCAGAAUGGUUUUGGGAAAGCCAGCCAGAGAGGGUGAAAGCCCCGUAAGCGAAAGACGAGUCAGCAAGGCGGGAUCCAGAGUACCACGAGACACGAGAAACCUUGUGGGAAUGAGCGGGGACCACCCCGUAAGGCUAAAUACUCCUUAGUGACCGAUAGCGCAUAGUACUGUGAAGGAAAGGUGAAAAGGACCCCGGGAGGGGAGUGAAAGAGAACCUGAAACCCUGUGUUUACAAGCUGUGGAACAUCUUUAUAUGAUGAACCGCGUACUUUUUGUAGAACGGUCCGGCGAGUUACGCCAUCUGGCGAGGUUAAGUUCUUAAGGAAUGGAGCCGAAGUGAAAACAAGUCUUAACAGGGCGUUAAGUCAGAUGGAGUAGACCCGAAACCGGGUGAUCUAUCCAUGUCCAGGAUGAAGUUGCCGUAAAAGGCAAUGGAGGUCCGAACCCACAUCCGUUGAAAAGGGUGGGGAUGAGGUGUGGAUAGGGGAGAAAUUCCAAUCGAACCCGGAGAUAGCUGGUUCUCCUCGAAAUAGCUUUAGGGCUAGCCUCAUGAGAGUCUUUUGGAGGUAGAGCACUGAAUUCCCGCGGGGGCGUCAAAGCUUACCAAAGGAUAUCAAACUCCGAAUGCCAGUAAGAUGAUUCAUGGGAGUCAGACUGCACGAGAUAAGUUGGGCAGUCAAAAGGGAAAGAGCCCAGACCUGCAGCUAAGGUCCCAAAAUGUGUGUUAAGUGGAAAAGGAUGUGGGAUUUCAAAGACAACCAGGAUGUUGGCUUAGAAGCAGCCAUACAUUAAAAGAGUGCGUAAUAGCUCACUGGUCGAGAGGUCCUGCGCCGAAAAUGUCCGGGGCUGAAACACACUACCGAAGCUCAGGAAUUAACGUAGUUAAUUGGUAGAGGAGCAUUCUUAAAGGGAAGAAGCAGUACCGGAAGGAGCUGUGGACUUUUAAGAAGAGAGAAUGCCGGAAUGAGUAGCGAGAGGAAGGUGAGAAUCCUUCCGGCCGAAUACCCAAGGUUUCCAGAGUAAAGCUGAUCUGCUCUGGGUAAGUCGGGGCCUAAGGUGAGGUCGAAAGACGUAGCCGAUGGACAACAGGUUGAAAUUCCUGUACUGCAGUAUAACAGAACUGUGGGGACGCAGAGGGAGAGCACUAGCGGGAAUGGAAUCCCGUGGCAAGCGAGGUAGGAGUCGCGUUGGCAAAUCCGCGUGACAAUCCGAAGACGUGAUGCAUACCGAACUGAAGUAGGGAAAUGUGUGAGCCAGCUGCCAAGAAAAGCCGCUAUUGUUUGUACUGUACCCGUACCGUAAACCGACACAGGUAGGUGAGGAGAGAAUCCUAAGGCCGACGGGAGAAGCAUUGUUAAGGAACUCGGCAAAAUGACUCCGUAACUUCGGGAGAAGGAGUGCCAGUGAGAGCUGGCCGCAGAGAAUUGGCCCAAGCAACUGUUUAGCAAAAACACAGGUCUAUGCAAAACCGUAAGGUGAAGUAUAUGGGCUGACGCCUGCCCGGUGCUGGAAGGUUAAGGGGAGAGGUUAGCGCAAGCGAAGCUUUGAACUUAAGCCCCAGUAAACGGCGGCCGUAACUAUAACGGUCCUAAGGUAGCGAAAUUCCUUGUCGGGUAAGUUCCGACCCGCACGAAAGGCGUAAUGAUUU